AUUCGAAGCUUGUCGAACAAUUCCUUCGGGGAGUGGAGGCCAAUUCGAAAAGGGAACUUUAUUAUUGGUGUGCUUACUAUGAUAAGAAACUCCCUACUGGAACAAGCGCCUUGCUAAAAUUAGAAGAAUUCGUGGCCAAGUUUAUGAGCGUAUACAGAAAAAACUCCAGGAAUCGUUGAUCCACAUGGCUGGAGGAACGUUGAUGGAUCAUUUGUUUAUCUUUAUGACAGUUUUAUGCCUGUCCAUUGUUGAAUGAUUAAGAAUCGAAGGAUUUAGGACAGAAUGCAUAAUAUAUUGUUUAUUGAGAGCUGUGGUCAUUUGAUUUCUCAUAAGUGGACGGGAUCGUGACAAGUAAUAAAGUAGUGGAUAGAGCGUUGAACCUAGAAGGAUUAUGUAUAUGAUUGAAUUAAAAUUAAUUGCAACUUUAAUUGAAUAGCAAACUAGU